AGUGGUCUUCCGUUAAAUAUUGGACUAGUACAUAUAUAUACGCUUUAUUUAUUUGCCGUAAUGUUCAUUUCUUCCUUCUGUAACCAAAGACUAUUUGUAUAUAUAAGUUCAUAAUAUGAACAUUAGGUAUAUCCAAGAAAUGAAACUAAACAUAAUUCAACAAAAACCAAAAUGAAAUGCUGCCCCCGAUCUCAAGAAAUCAACGUUACGUAAACCCACCCAGUGAACUUGCGGCUCCUUAUUUGUAUCUAGAAGUUCUUGAUUCCACCAUUUGAAGAAGAGAACAGUUAUUGUGUGAGCUCUGCUUUAUCCCACUUUGACACUUUUCUUUUCCAAAAUAUUAUAUUAAAAUCUAUUUGUUAAUACAUAUUUCUUUCCUGUCAAGAUUGAACCAAGUGCAAUUCACAGAGGUAUGCCUAUUCACACACAGCAAACAAACAAAAAGUGAAAUGGGUUAAUCGAAAUGGUAAAUUUUCGGUAUCUCCACUCUAAUGCUUAAGUCAAUAAAGGCCUUGAAUUCAAGUUAAGUGAUGAGGUUUUGUUUAGAUAAGUUUUUUCUUACCUUUUUCUCCAUCGUUUUCUCCUCAAAUACCUUUUAAAAAUGGAGUGUGUGCAUUCAGGAGCGGGGGUCGUGCUUCUAUUUUUGUGCACUUGAUGGUUUCAUAGUCAACUUCCUCAACUACCUCAUGGUUUAACUGCUCUCUCCACCGGUAAGCAUUAUCCUUACAUUUUAGGCUUGCCAACUCUGUGAUUUUUCACCAAUUCGUAGCCUCUGUUGAAAAUUGAUUAAAAAAAAAAAAGUGAUGAACAAUAAUACAAUUUGACCACGCGGUGAAUAGUAAUACGGUUUGACCACGCGGUGAACAGUAACGCAGCACGAAUAGUAACACGGUUUGAAUAAUGAUAUCCAUUUGGUUAUAAAUAAGAGAGCCUUUCAUAAGUUUUGAUCAUCCCAAAUUUGAGAAGCAAGAGAAUGCAAGAGAAGUAUUGAGAGCUUCCAACAUGGGAGAGAAAUAUUCUUAAGCAAGUAUAUACAUUGUAAGAGUAUUUGGCUCCUCAAUAUGAGUACUAUGUGUUUGCUUUGUUAAGGGAUAUUUCUCAAGAUCAUGUAUUUGGGAUUUGGAUGAGAGAAAAUUAUUUUUAAAAAU
rnacentral:lncRNA from 1 species